AGCUCACGCUGGUGCUGGCCAUCAUGCUGCAGAGUGGCCGGGCUGAGUACUACCAGUAGACGAGGUCCCACUUUGUUACCCAGGCUGGUCUUGAACUCCUGAGCUCAAGGGUUGGCAUCUGCACAUCCUUCCUGGGCAUCUCAUGGGCACUGCUCGACUACCACCGGGCCUUGCGCACCUGCCUCCCCUCCAAGCCGCUCCUGGGCCUGGGCUCCUCCGUGAUCUACUUCCUGUGGAACCUGCUGCUGCUGUGGCCCCGAGUCCUGGCUGUGGCCCUGUUCUCAGCCCUCUUCCCCAGCUAUGUGGCCCUGCACUU
rnacentral:sRNA from 1 species